rnacentral:rRNA from 1 species
UCAGUGGCGAAUGGUUGAGUAACACGUGAGCAACCUGCCCUGGACUUGGGAUAAGCGCCUGGAAUCGGCGUCUAAUACUAGAUAUGAGCUCUCAUCGCCAUGAUGGGUGUUGGAAAGAUUUUUCGGUUUGGGAUGGGCUCGCGGCCUAUCAGCUUGUUGGUGAGGUAAUGGCUCACCAAGGCGUCGACGGGUAGCCGACCUGAUAGGGUGACCGGCCACACCGCGACUGAGACACGGCCCAGACUCGUAUCGGAGGCAGCACUGCGGAAUAUUACACAAUGCGCGGAAGCCUGACGCAGUACCGCCGCGUGAGGGAUGACGGCCUUCCGGUUGUAAACCUCUUUUAGCAGGAAGAAGCGAGAGUGACGGUACCUGCAGAAAAAGCUCCGGCUAACUACGUGCCAGCAGCCGCGGUAAUACGUAGGGAGCAAGCGUUAUCCGGAAUUAUUGGGCGUAAAGAGCUCGUAGGCGGUUUGUCGAGUCUGAUGUGAAAUCCCGAGGCUCAACCUCGGACCUGCAGUGGGUACGGGCAGACUAGAGUGCGGUAGGGGAGAUUGGAAUUCCUGGUGUAGCGGUGGAAUUCGCAGAUAUCAGGAGGAACACCCAUGGCGAAGGCAGAUCUCUGGGC